GAUCCUGGCUCAGGAUGAACGCUGGCGGCAGGCUUAAUACAUGCAAGUCGAACGGUAAGGUCCGAAGUGGCAACACGGAGGAUACACGAGUGGCGCACGGGUGCGUAACGCGUAUGCAACCUGCCCCCGACCGGGACAAAACAGCUGGAAACGGCUGCUAAUAUCCCAUGGUCAUGCGGAAGGGCAUCCUUCUUCAUGUAAAGAUUCAUUGGUCGGGGAUGGGCAUGCGUAUUAUUAGGUAGUUGGCGGGGUAACGGCCCACCAAGCCGACGAUGAUUAGGGGUCCUGAGAGGGUUAACCCCCACACUGGAACUGAGACACGGUCCAGACUCCUACGGGAGGCAGCAGUAGGGAAUAUUGGGCAAUGGGAGCAAUCCUGACCCAGCCAUGCCCGCGUGAAGGAAGACGGCCCUAUGGGUUGUAAACUUCUUUUGCCGCAGAGUAAACCCGGUCACGAGUGGUCGGUUGAGAGUAUGCGGCGAAUAAGUAUCGGCUAACUCCGUGCCAGCCGCGGC
rnacentral:rRNA from 1 species